UAGGGAAUCUUCGGCAAUGGACGAAAGUCUGACCGAGCAACGCCGCGUGAGUGAAGAAGGUUUUCGGAUCGUAAAACUCUGUUGUUAGAGAAGAACAAGGACGUUAGUAACUGAACGUCCCCUGACGGUAGCUAACCAGAAAGCCACGGCUAACUACGUGCCAGCAGCCGCGGUAAUACGUAGGUGGCAAGCGUUGUCCGGAUUUAUUGGGCGUAAAGCGAGCGCAGGCGGUUUCUUAAGUCUGAUGUGAAAGCCCCCGGCUCAACCGGGGAGGGUCAUUAGAAACUGGGAGACUUGAGUGCAGAAGAGGAGGGUGGAAUUCCAUGUGUAUCGGUGAAAUACGUAGAUAUAUGGAGGAACACCAGUGGCGAAGGCGGCUCUCUGGUCUGUAACUGACGCUGAGGCUCGAAAGCGUGGGGAGCAAACAGG
rnacentral:rRNA from 1 species